ensembl:lncRNA
GGAAUCUAAAAGGAACAUGGCUGCAGGCGAGGAGCAGUCUCAAAACAGCCACUUCCAGCCAGUACACACAAAUAAACCUGAACGCUGAACUUCAAGAGAACCUCGUAAAAAGAGAAUUUUUGCAAUUAAAGUCACAAUGUGAGAAUCCUUUAUAUUGACUUUAAAAUCAAGCCAGUAAUAGACAAAACCAUUAAAGUGACAGAGCCUGGAGCGACUGUGUGCUGCUUUACAAUGAAAUGGCUUGUUUUCUCAUACUUUGCUGCUGACACAGUUGCCAUAUUAGAACAAAAUAAAUGGUUAGCGUCCUUGUUAUUAUCUCUCUUAAACCCAGUUGAACGGUCUGAACGCCUGCCAUUGUUCAGUCUCUGUGAUAAGGGGCAUGUGAUUCACCACUACGGCUCAGUAAAUGAAGGAUGGAGAAAGCGCUCACUGGCACGGUGCCCGUCAGAUCGAGACGUCAGAGCCGCACACACUCACGCUGGCACGGGUCCCAUCGCUGCGUCCGCCCAUGCGAGGCCACCGGGCUGUGACGUUACAGAGGGAUAAUUUUGGGAUGACGCAUGCCGGUUCUCUGCGUGGAAUCAUUUUGGCUGCAUGGGUGAGAUUCCUUCCGUCCAUUGUACUCCCCUGAAAUGGAAGUUAUUUCGGGAAGAGCAUGUGCUAUAUAAGGUGAGCGCAACUACUGGAGAGAGAGACACCACUGGGGUAAAAGAGAACACUUUCCAUUUUCUCAGAGCGUCUGUCUGCCCCUGCUGAUUUGGAAGAGAGAAAAGGGUGUCUAAGAGUGGAAGAGGUGGUUAUGGUAACUCACAGUGAGACUUCUGGCUGUAAAGCAAAGCUAAUUAUAACAGUACAAGACUGGCAAUACAGGCUAUAAACAGUAUUUUAUGUGUGCCUAAAAUAAAGCACCAGGGCAAAAAAGAGAACAAGCGUUUUAAAGAAACCAAAAAUACACAUUUCCUAUUUUUAUCGUUACACAUUACUAACACAUCAUGAUUAACACAUCCACACACUAAUAUUGUGUUAAUUAAAGAACAAAACUAAAAAAAAAAAAAUUAAAUAAUAAUAAUAAUAAUAAUAAUAAAAUACUUUUAAAAGAUUUAAAAAGGUUUCCUUGCAUGUCAUGUGAGCAUUAACCAACAUCAGAGUACCAUGAAUAUGCCAAUGUUGCUACGUUAUUGAAAUAUUAACUUCUAGGGGUUAGUUUAGGUAAAUAUUUUAUAAAUAUUUUACAUCUAAGGGUUUUGACUGACCAAAAAAUAAAAAAUAAAAGUUUGAGAACACCUGCCAUAAUGCUAUGCACUAAAUUUGGCCUUCUGUUUUCAAUAUUUUAAUGUUUCAAGCAUUAAAAAGCAUACAUUAUUAAUGCAGUACAAUUAACAUGUCUGUACACUAAUAUUGUGUUGAUUAAAGAACAAAAAAACGUAAUAAUAAUAAAAAUAAUAAUAAUAAUGUUUCCUUAAAUUAUUGAAAUAUUAAUUUAAAAUCUGCGAUGGUAUUUCAAUCAAAUAUUUUUAAAUUUUUUUUUUGGGUUUUACUAAAAAUUUAUAAAUAUUUUCUCCCAUAUGAUUCUUUAUCUGAUCAGACUGUGAAAAUAUUUUUACAUCAAAUUAAUUAAUGAAUCAAUUAAAUAAAUGCAAAACAACUAGAGAUGCACAAUAUAUCCAUGCCAUUUUGAUUACUGGUAUUUCUUUACAAUUAUUCUGUAUUAAAUACGGGAUGUUUAAUUGUGCAUGCACAUUUGAUUAUCUUUGCUAUCAUCUAGGCUCACUUAUAAAUGUAAUUAUCCUCAAAAUUCAAAAUAUAACUUUUUUUAUACAUUACAAUGAUGUGAUGCGUAAACUCACCUGUAACACCUAAAACGAUUGGUUUUACUUGUAUUUUCAGUGUUUUGGUUUUACUUGACUAUUGACUAUAGUAUCUGCCAUUCAUUGAUUAUCAGCCAUACCUAAAUUAAUUAUCGGCUUAUCAUUGUCAGUCAGUAUUUACAGUGCAUCCCUAAAAAUAAUUUUAAAUUAUUUUGAUUAUUUUAAAGUUGUCAGAACGUCAGAAAUAGUUACAGCAUACUUUUGUUUGCAAAUUUUGAGUUACAUUCUGUUUUCACAUUUUCUAGCAUCCAUUUUGAAUGGGAAAAAAAAAUACUGUUGUAGCUUGCAAAUAUAUGCAGUACAGUAGUAUUAUAUUCCAAACACACACUUCUUACAGUAUGAAGCAACUCUGCAGUUACAGCCUCGUCACUAAACUGACCACAUAGCAUCUUAAUCAUGUCCGGAAUAUCUGGUGACAGAAUAAUACUUCUAUUUGUGCAUCGUGGUCACACAGACUCACUUAGUUGGCCAUUUUAUCAUGUGAGGGAUUGACACAGGCUCAUAUCUGUGUCUCCGGCACAGCCUGCUUCUACCUUUCCAGGUUUCUGAUUGCAGUGCUUUGUGAGGAGGUUGCAUUUUUCAUUCCCACAACUCUGUGUAAAGCGAUCCCAUCAUUCCUGCAAGUGAAGCCAAAACUGUAGCUAGAACUUGUGCCUGUGUAAUAUCAGCUGCACUCUUACUAAUCCUCAUGUUUUUAUCAUAUAGUGUUUCUGGCACAUAGUCGAGCAGUUGGACCAGACCAAUCACCUCAUGCCUGUUUGACAGCCAUGGUUCUCUGAAAGCAGCAUUUGAAACUUUUGUUUUUUAAAUCGAUUUCAAGGAAACAAUCAGGAAAGUGAGACUGUGGCAAAAAGUUACAUUUUACAACAUUCAAAUGAUUUUUCUUAAACACAUGUCUGGUCUUAUGUUGCACAUUUGACAAAUGAAGACUUGUGAAACUGAAUGUGCACUUAGUAUAGCCUACUUCAGAUGUUAAAGGUGUAUAUUUAUGAACUGUACUGAUAUUUAACUGUUAAUAAACCCACUUAAGUGACUUAAAAAGAGACACUUUAAUGACUGUUUCUUUACACACUUAAGUAAAUUUUUAAAGAAUUAUCAGUUUUAAUAAUCUUUUGUCAACUUUUCAAGUACACUUAUUUUGAUUUUUUAAGCAACAUACUAAAGCAUAUGUAAAGUACUUGAUAAUAAUUGUAACAGUUUUGAACAGCAAUUUUAACUGUAUUUAUAUUAAAUUUCAUAUUUAUAUUUUAAAUCCACUGAAGUGCAACUUCAUCAUUACUAAUGUGUAAUUACAAAUAUAUU